rnacentral:lncRNA from 1 species
GACCUGCCAGCUUCAGGUCCUUUGGGGAUUAAAUAAAGAAGUGGAAAGGCUCCUGCCACUUAUCAGCUUGCUUUCCAAAGCCCAACUUCUCUAGAGAGCUCACCAUGGCCUGGGCGUUGUCCUUCCUUGUCCUUCUCGGCUAUCUUUCAGGUAAGGGUGUAGAGGACUCACUCUCCAUGGAGGCAGAGCCAAUGACAACAUUGUGCAUUGAUGAAAGGGCCUGUCUGAUACUUGUGAGCACAGUAAACGAAUCCGUGUCAAUUAUCCUUUUCCCAAAGGUGUCAUUUCACAGCCUACUAUGACCCAACCUGCCUCUGUGGCUGCACCCCCGAGACAAACUACUAAACUCCCCUGCACCGCCAGUGGAAGCGUGAGCUAUAUUCUCUGGAUUCAGCAAAAACCUGGCCAGGCCCCUCGCUUUGUGCACUGUGAUACUUGCAGCAGCAAAGGACAAGGGAUCCCAGAUCGGUUCACCGCUUCCCGCUCUGGAACCACAGGCUAUUUGACCAUCACCGGCACUGAGACUGAAGAUGAGGCUGACUAUUACUGUGUUGCUUGGUUCAGCAGUAUGUGGCACAGUGCUAAAGUCUGAUGGGGAACUGAGACAGAAACCUUCUCCCUCCCUCCAGUGCAGGGAGCUGAGAAAUAUUGCAGUGUUUGGUUUGAUGUGUGAGUGCCGGGAGGCGGUUGGAGGAUGGAUGGCGGCCAACAGAUUGAGGUUGCAUCUUGAUAAGACAGAAGUACUGUUUUGGGGGGACAGGGGCAUAGCUGUCAACUUUUCCCUUUUUUUAAGGGAAAUUCCCUCAUUCCGAAUAGGAUUCCUUGCAAGAAAAGGGAAAAGUUGACAGCUAUGGAAAGGGGGCAGGUGGGUGUGGAGGACUUCCUGGUCCUGAAUGGGGUAACUGUGCCCCUGAAAGACCAAGUGCACAACCUGCAAGUCCUUUUGGACUCACAGCUGUCCAUGGAGGCGAAGGUCAAUUCUGUGUCCAGGGCUGCUGUCUAUCAACUCCAUCUGGUACGCACGCUGAGACCCUACUUGCCCACAGACUGUCUCGUCAGAGUGGUGCAUGCUCUGGUUAUCUCCCGCUUGGACUACUGCAAUGCACUCUACAUGGGCUACCUUUGAAGGUGAUCCAGAAACUACAACUAAUCCAGAAUGCAGCAGCUAGACUGGUGACUGGGAGUGGCCACUGAGACCACAUAACACAGGUCCUGAAAGACCCACAUUGGCUCCCAGCACGCUUCCGAGCACAAUUCAAAGAAUUGGUGCUGACUUUUCAAGCCCUAAACGGCCUUGGCCCAGUAGACCUGAAGGAGCGUCUCCACUCCCAUUGUUCUGCCCGGACACUGAGGUCCAGCUCCAAGGGCCUUCUGGUGGUUCCCUCACUGUGAGGUUACAGGGAAACAGGCAGAGGGCCUUCUCGGUAGUGGUGCCUGCCCUGUGGAAUGCCCUCCCUUCAAAUGUCAUGGAAAUAAACAACUACCAGACUUUUAUUUAAAAGUCUCCCUGGUCUCGGAUUCUGUCAGUCCUUUCUAUCAAUUCCAUAUGGUCCAUCAACCUGGUGAUCUUCUGUCCGAGGCUCUUAACUCUUUUCCAUGUCCCUUCUGCAGAUCUUCUUCAUAUUUAUACAUGCACUUUACUUUAUCUUCUGCUGAUCUUGUUCUUAAUUUCCUUCCUUUGGCACUGAGGAGUAGAUCUCGGGGAAACUCCAACCUAACAAUGUCUUUAUUCCUUCUCAACAGGUCAGCCCAUUCUCCAUAGUCAGAACUAAAGUCCAAAAGAUAUUUCAGAGCGUGUUUCAAAAUCCCUCCAAAGCUAAAGGCCCCCACAACUCCAAUCUCCCCCUGACCCAAAUCCAAAUCCCAAAAGCCAGAACAUCCCUGCAUAAGGGGAUCUAUCCAACUUUCCUUCUCCAAUCCAAGUGGGACUCCAUCCCUCCAAAUCUGGCUUUCUCUAGAUUCAAUCGUAAAAGGCAACAGCUUAUAUUCAUCAAAUUGCCUCUGCAAGGCCGGGCUCUCUCCACUUGUAUUACUUGGGAUUCAACAACAGCUUCCUCCUUCGUCUUCUCCACAGCUUGCCAUGUCAGAACAGAUUCCUGAAUCGAUUCCUGAGUAGUUUCUGUAUAAGUAUUCACUUUUUGUCCCAAACCAGUCAUUUUUUGUCCCAAAUUGUCAAUUUUAAUAAUCAUCACAUCCAUCUUCUCAUGAAGCUGUUCCAAUAAAGCACUUGUCUUGCAAAAUGCAAUCACUAAGGCUUCUUCCGUCGACAUUCUUGUCCAAGGUCAAUCUCUGAUUCUCACGGUCUUUAAUCUCUGCAGCUGGAAAAUUCCCCAGCUCCACUCCUGCAACAGUUUCAAAAGCUCCCUCUAGGGGAAACAAUUUCUAUUUGUAUCCGUCCUUUUAAACGCAGAUCCAGCAACAAAGUUAGUUUCGAUUUUCAGUUACUUUUGCUCUUUUUUAAGUGCAAAAGGAAACAAUGGAAACAAUAUAUUUCUCUUGUUUAACUAUCUGUCAACAUACGUUUUAUUCACAGUCAAUGAACUUUCCCAAAACAUCGAUCUUACUGGCAGCCCGUUCCCAGGUUCAGAACGGUGGUGAUUUAUCUUUCUUCACUCUCUCUCCUGCAGGCUUAGGCGAUCUAAAAUUUCCCCCCUCUUCUCCUGCUUCCAAGGGGGGUUUAGUAAUUUUAACCGAUGGAGAUUUAAUCCUUUACAAAAGGCUUUCCAGACUUUAGCUUGCAAACGUCUUUGCUUCAAUCUAUUUACAAAAGAGGAAGGCGGACUUCCUGUUUGAAACCUUCCCGUUUCGGUACCAAAUUAAAAUGUUUAGAGAUCCAAUUUUCCGUUCUACUCACGGGUAGUUGUUUAAAGUCCAAUUGUCCACAGGAAAAAGUCAGCGCUUUCCGGCAACAGCAAUGCGGCUUCACUCCGUGAAAGAAGCAGUCGAUUCGAAGCACCGCGCCGCUCACCCCACGUCGCUCCGGAUCCCCGAAACCGGGUUUCCCCGCGAGUAGGGGAGGCGCAAAAGGUGCCAGCCAAAUCCCACGUCCACAGGCUUCUCCCGCCUGUGGUUUUUAGUGGGUCUCCGCCUCGCCGUGGCGGUCAGACCCUGAUUUCCACGGAGCGGAUUCCGCCCGAUCAGAGGAAAUCCGCCAUUGCCGGAGGCGCUAACCCGGAAGUCCCAACAACUACCAGACUUUUAGAAGGCAUCUGAAGGCAGCCCUGUUUAGGGAAGUUUUUAAUGUGUGAUGUUUUAUUCUGGUGGGAGCUGCCCAGAGUGGCUGGGGAAACCCAGGUGGAUGGGCAGGGUAUAAAUAAUAAAUGAUUAUAUUAUUAUUAUUAUUAUUAUUAUUAUUAUUAUUAUUAUUGAUGUGUGCCUGAGUCUCUCUCAAUAGUACUGCUGAAUGGGGCCAAAAUGGCAUCUAAUCCCAGCCCCUUCUCUGAGUUGUGCUCACCAAGCAACCACUCAUGCACAGGGCAAUGCGCACUGCAGGUGGCCACAUAUCAUUGCAGCUGGAUUUAAGAAAGGUGCCUGUAGAGCAAACAAUAAGAGCACAUUGUACAGCAAACAUCUGCACAUUGUUGAACUUUUUUUACAUGUGGCACAGAUGUUAAGAUACAACAAAAUCCCCCACACAGGAAGAAUAAGGAGUGCUUCACUUGUAGUUCUAAAAAUCAUUUAAUAUGUCAACACGAAUGGAAGAUAUUAAUAUUGUAGCUGUUGUAUAAGGGAUUAUUAUUUUGACCAGAAUGUAAUUGAAAUUAAUAAGAUUUUGGAACACAGAAAUAAAGAAAAUCAUCAAAUCUAGCAUGUGCAGGGGCACCCAAAUUAUAUAAUUUGCUGUUUGAAAAUUGGUAUUAGUAAUUGUAUUAUAAUUUGGUAUUGUUAUAACGAGGCUAUUAUUGAUUGUAAUUGAAAAAUUAAUAAAAAUUAUUAUCAAAAAGAUAUAAAAAAUCAUAGCAUAGUUCAGAUGCAACAAAAUGGUUGGAAGAAAUUUAAAGACUAUUUACAGAAAUAUUGCAAAAUCAAUGAAUGUUAGAAUGAUGUUAGAAUGAAGUUAAGUGGUUUAAGCAGCAAUGUUAUAAAGGUGUAUGUAAAAAUGGUCUGUUAACAGGUGAGAAUCCAAAGUUAUAACAUAUUAAAUUAAAGGAUUAAGAGAAAAUAAAGAGGGAAAGAAAUUGCUGAAUUAACUAACUGAAUUGGAAUACAAAAAAGGGAGGUAUGAGGAGGUCAGGGAAGCAAGGAAAUGAAUGUAAGGCAUGGAAAGAUUGAUGUAUUUUUUUAAAGUGCUUUUUAUUCUUUUUUCUGUAUUUUGUAUUUUUCUUGUAUUUUUACUUGUUCUUUUUCCUUCUUCUUUAUUUAUGUAAUUCUUUUCUUUGAAACCUUAAUAAAUAUCAUUUUUUUUAAAAAAACAGAUACAAUAAAAUCGCUCUAUGAAGUUUGGUGCUGGUUAAAACUACCCCCAUUUUCUUGCAUGGAUAGGCACAGUAAUGCUCUUAUUAAUAUCUGCAGGAUUUAAAUAAGCACUUCUUGCACUUCUCAGGUACUUCUCAGGUAAGGGUGUGAAGGUCUCAUCUUUCUUUGGCAUAUUUCCCAACAGCAGAACUAUUUAUAUUGUUCCUUGAUCACCAUGCCUGUCUGAUAUUUGUGAGCACCAAAAAAUAAAAAUAAAAUCAAGGUCUUUUUCAUAAUAUUUUUUAUUAAUUUUCAAUCACAGUCCAAUAAUAGCCUCAGGAACGCUUUCCAAGGACACUGAAUCUGCCAGCUGUCUCUCUCUUGGUGUUUCCUCUUCUAGCUGUUACUCACCCAGCAUUUCCCAGCUUCCCCCUCUGUGCUAUGCCCUUCUGCAAAGCACUGUUCUAAAUCAAUACUGCCCUCCUGUCCUUGGGAAGGUUCAGGAGAAGGGGGUGGGGGCGGCCAAAUGGCUGACAGAUGCCAAAGAUGUGCUGCCUGUCGAAUACGCCAGAAAACUCUUCCACGAAGUUUACUGUUGCUUAAAACCAGCCGUGGGGGACCCUGAAUUGAUGCGUCACAAUCCUGUCCUGAUGACAUCACUGGGUUAACCUGGUAACAACAUUAGUCUUAAAAUAUCUGCAAGAUUUUAUUAAAAACAAAACAAAAACUAGUCCUCAUCAGCCAAAGGGGUUUGGUAAUGGAAUGAAGGGUUGUGCUGAAACUGCUGAGUAUUUCUUGGAUGGAAUGGACCCUACUAGGGGUCAAGUUUGCUAUUUCAUAUAUAUUUUUUCCUUUGGGCUCCAACCACCAUCUGUAUGUGGCCCCUGAAAGGUUCUCUGUGAGGGAAUAUGGCCCUGGGGUUUAUUCUUCACUUGUGAACUAGAAGUUAGACCCAGAUGUUGAUACUGUGUCCUGUGCACAGGAAAGGGAGGCUUCAGCAGAAACCUCCUUGGCAACUUGAAAUAAUUUUGACUGGAUUGGGAUGUAGCCUGAGAAGAGGUGCUUGGGAGGAUUAUCAAGGACAGGGCCUGUUAAGACCCUUCCUCAUUCUCUAAUUCCUUUAUUUCUUAAGUUUCCAUCUUCCUUCCUUCCAAUUGCUCUCUCUCAACACUUAUUAGUGUGCAUAAAGAGCUUAUGUCUCUUAGCCUGGAACAGAACCAGGAACCUUCCCUCUUUGCUUCAAAUAAUCUUCCUCUUGCAAAUGUAUUCUCUGUUCAUUGGCCAGGAUACAACGUCGUGCCUCCUCAGAGGAGGAGUGGCUUUUCUAGCAAAGCCAAUGGACACCAAGAACAUAAUAUAACAGACCCUUCAUUUAUUUCCUGCAGUAUUUAAGAAGGAAGGAGGAAAUCUCCCUUCAGUUAUCUGUUUCUUUUAGAGAGUCAGACUCCUCUAGGGAGCUCACCAUGGCCUGGGCUCUGUCCUUCCUUGCACUUCUCAACUGUUUCUCAGGUAAGGGUAUGUAGGACUCGCUUUCCAUAGGUUUCUGAGUCCACAACGCCAAUUAUAUCCUAAGUUUAUCGUAGCACGCUUAUAGUAUUCAUGAGCAAAACAAGUGAAUCAAGGUAAUUUCUUCUUCUUUCUUUUUGAAAAGGUGUCCUUUCUCAACACACAAUGACUCAACCGGCUUCCGAGUCUGUGUCCCCAGCACAAACAGUUAAGCUCUCCUGCACUGCCAGCAGCAGCGUGAGCACUAUUUACUGGUAUCAACAGAGAGCUGGCCAGGCCCCUCGCUUUGUGCACUGUGAUGGCUGCAGCAGGGGAACAGGGAUCCCAGAUCGGUUCACCGCUUCCCGCUCUGGAACCACAGGCUAUUUGACCAUCAGCAGCAUCCAGGCUGCAGACGAGGCUAAGUAUUACUGUGGGGCUUGGUUUAACAGUGGCAGCUUGCUGCACGGUGAUUGUGUCUGAUGGGGAACUGAUACAAAAACCUUCAAUCUUCCUCUUAAUUUGGUCUGAAUGCGUAUGCGACAACAGCUGCACGGAUGUUAUUGGCACAAAAAUGGAAAGAUACAACAACGCCGACCAAGGAAGAAUGGCAAGCCAAACUGCUGGAAUAUACUGAAAUGGCAAAAUGAACUGUGAGACUUAGGAACCAAGAAGAAAAGAACUUUUAAAAAUAAUGGGGAAAAUUUAUAAUAUACCUAAAAGAUUAUUGUAAGCAAAUCCAAACAUUAACUGGACUCUAAGAAUCACUUGCAAAGUAAAAGAAGUUUAUUGUUAAUUUAUUUAUAUGUAGGCUCCCCCUCAAAAAAAAUAAUAGUAGAAGGGUCCAUGAAAGGGAGGGGGGAGUUAUGAGAUUCAGAGAAUCUCAUGAAAUGAGUAUAUAAAUGUUGAUAUAAAUUUGUAUUUGUAAAAACCAAUAAAGAUAUUUC